rnacentral:lncRNA from 1 species
UGGACUAGCCUGCUGGACCAGGCUGUGAAGGCUGAAUUAAGCUUCAUAGAGCAGAUUGUGUGGAGUCAAGGAUUUGGGUUGUCAUUACCCCAUGAAGCCAGGAAGCAAGAUCAGAGGAACUGGCUCAUGUUGGGGGUGUUGGGUUCCUGGGCUGGAAGUCUUCUCUUGACGAGGCAUGGAGAAGACUCAUUUCUACAAUCUCCAUUCACUACACACCACCUGGCAACUGGCAGCUGUCCACAAUAUUGAAUAUGGAGAGGACACACAGUGGGUGAACCCCGAUGGGGUCUGAGUCCCCAGCUUGGUGGUCUGCAUGGUUGUCUCCUCUUCUGCCUGUCCUUCUCUU